rnacentral:rRNA from 1 species
UACGUAGGGUGCGAGCGUUGUCCGGAAUUAUUGGGCGUAAAGAGCUUGUAGGCGGUUUGUCGCGUCUGCUGUGAAAUCUCAAGGCUCAACCUUGAGCUUGCAGUGGGUACGGGCAGACUAGAGUGUGGUAGGGGAGACUGGAAUUCCUGGUGUAGCGGUGAAAUGCGCAGAUAUCGGGAGGAACACCGGUGGCGAAGGCGGUUCUCUGGGCCUG